AUUGAACGCUGGCGGCAGGCCUAACACAUGCAAGUCGAACGGUAACAGGAAACAGCUUGCUGUUUCGCUGACGAGUGGCGGACGGGUGAGUAAUGUCUGGGAAACUGCCUGAUGGAGGGGGAUAACUACUGGAAACGGUAGCUAAUACCGCAUAACGUCGCAAGACCAAAGAGGGGGACCUUCGGGCCUCUUGCCAUCGGAUGUGCCCAGAUGGGAUUAGCUAGUAGGUGGGGUAACGGCUCACCUAGGCGACGAUCCCUAGCUGGUCUGAGAGGAUGACCAGCCACACUGGAACUGAGACACGGUCCAGACUCCUACGGGAGGCAGAAGUGGGGAAUAUUGCACAAUGGGCGCAAGCCUGAUGCAGCCAUGCCGCGUGUAUGAAGAAGGCCUUCGGGU
rnacentral:rRNA from 1 species